rnacentral:rRNA from 1 species
AUUAAUAAGCGGAGGAAAAGAAACUAACAAGGAUUCCCUUAGUAACGGCGAGUGAAGCGGGAAUAGCCCAACACCGAAUCUUACGCUGUUAAGCGUUAGGAAUUGUGGUGUUUGAGUCAGUUUGCAGUAAAAUAUAAGUCAAGAUUAAAGUCUUUUUGAUUGAGGCCAUUGCCCAUAGCGGGUGUUAGGCCUUUAAAUCUUUACUGGCUAUAAUUUUACAUAAACUGUCUUUAGAGUCGGGUUGUUUGAGAUUGCAGCCCAAAGUAGGUGGUAGACUCCAUCUAAGGCUAAAUACAGGCACGAGUCCGAUAGCAAACAAGUACCGUGAGGGAAAGUU